rnacentral:tRNA from 1 species
ACUUAAGUAGCUUAAAGAGAUCACUACAUUGAAGCUGUAGGUGUGGCAGUUUGCCCUUGGGUG